rnacentral:rRNA from 1 species
AACGCGAAGAACCUUACCUACCCUUGACAUGUCAGGAAUCCCGAAGAGAUUUGGGAGUGCCGCAAGGAACCUGAACACAGGUGCUGCAUGGCUGUCGUCAGCUCGUGUCGUGAGAUGUUGGGUUAAGUCCCGCAACGAGCGCAACCCUUGUCAUUAGUUGCCAUCAUUUAGUUGGGCACUCUAAUGAGACUGCCGGUGACAAACCGGAGGAAGGUGGGGAUGACGUCAAGUCCUCAUGGCCCUUAUGGGUAGGGCUUCACACGUCAUACAAUGGUCGGUACAGAGGGUUGCCAACCCGCGAGGGGGAGCCAAUCCCAGAAAGCCGAUCGUAGUCCGGAUCGUAGUCUGCAACUCGACUACGUGAAGUCGGAAUCGCUAGUAAUCGCGAUCAGAA